GCCUGGGUGGCUUAGUUGGUUAAGCGUCUGACUCUUGAUUUGGGCUCAGGUCAUAAUCUCAUGGUUGGUGGGUUUGAGCCCCGCACUAGGCU
rnacentral:tRNA from 1 species